rnacentral:rRNA from 1 species
UCCUCCCUCUUUCCUCGUGCCUAAUACAUGCAAGUCGAACGCUUCUUUCCUCCCGAGUGCUUGCACUCAAUUGGAAAGAGGAGUGGCGGACGGGUGAGUAACACGUGGGUAACCUACCCAUCAGAGGGGGAUAACACUUGGAAACAGGUGCUAAUACCGCAUAACAGUUUAUGCCGCAUGGCAUAAGAGUGAAAGGCGCUUUCGGGUGUCGCUGAUGGAUGGACCCGCGGUGCAUUAGCUAGUUGGUGAGGUCACGGCUCACCAAGGCCACGAUGCAUAGCCGACCUGAGAGGGUGAUCGGCCACACUGGGACUGAGACACGGCCCAGACUCCUACGGGAGGCAGCAGUAGGGAAUCUUCGGCAAUGGACGAAAGUCUGACCGAGCAACGCCGCGUGAGUGAAGAAGGUUUUCGGAUCGUAAAACUCUGUUGUUAGAGAAGAACAAGGACGUUAGUAACUGAACGUCCCCUGACGGUAUCUAACCAGAAAGCCACGGCUAACUACGUG